GUAGGUAGGGCAGAUGAUGUACCCAUUUUAUGGAUGAGCCAGCCAGCGCACAGAGGGUGGAAUGGGUUUGCCUGAAGUCACACAGCCAGGGAGAGGCAGAGCUGGGAUAGAAUCCAGGCCAGCAGAAAGGGGCAGGAAGGCCAAAGGCAGAUGUUUUUCAACCAGCCUACCUCCCUAGGUCAGUGUCCAAGAGAAACUGGCCACAGUGAACAUGGACGGAAAGGAGACCACAGCACCCGGGCGUGGCAUGGACAGCUUUGGAGGGCAGCCUUGCACUCAGCAGCUGCCCACUCCCCAUGCGGAGAAAAUAUGUCCAUGAGCCCGAGGUGUUUUCAGCACCAUGUGCUUAGGCCAACCCUAGUCUUGAUUGACAGUAUCACAUAAUCCUAGCAUGUCAGAGCUGGAACUAUCCAAUAAGCACACUGUGCAGAAGGGGAAACUGAGGCCAUGACAGUGACAUGCCCCAAGUCAUAGAGUAAGUGGCAGCAAAUCCAGAACCCGAAUCCGGGGGUCUCCAAUCAGGAACCUUUUGCAUCCCACUUUGCUGUUAACUCAGUCACCAGCCCAUGCAAUGUGGGACUAGGGCUGCUACACCCCCACCCCUAUUUCAUCGAAUAAACACAUCAGUGCUUACUAUAUGCCAGGCACUGCUCUGCUCUCUCUUUACAAAUACUCAGUCCAUCUCUUAGGCCCUGUCCAUCCCAAGCACCGCAGCCCACUCCCUACCUGGCUGGUUUUUAGCUUCUCCUCCUCCUUUCUCUCUUCUCUCUCAGGCUCUCUGUCCCGCUGAUGGUGGACCACGGCCCCUGCACCAUUGGCCAUGGGGGAGCCAUCACCCUGCCAGGACCUCACCUCCUGCAGAAGGCACAGAAAGAGUUAGGAGCAUGAGCAGCUCAGGCGGGAAUCCGGGGACCUGUGCACCAGAGGCUGGAGUCGAGAGAGUGCAGGGUGGGAGGCAGCUGAGAGGUUAGGAGCAGCAGGGCCACCGGGUACAGCGGGAGGAGGCUGUUAGUGCCCUGAAGCACCUCCACCAGCAGCAGCAGCAGCACCGGCAGCCCAGCGGGCUCGGCCCACUACCUUCUCGUGCUCCUGCCGGCUCAGGCGCAGAGCCAGCUGCAGCUGCAGGUCCUCGUCCCUGUGGGAGGCUGGGGGGACAGGCUGCGGAGGAAGAGAGGGGUAAACUUGGCCCUGUACCCCCACCUUGGGACCAGAAGGGCAGUAUAGGCCUGCCUGGGUCAUGGGGAUGGAGACACUAAUGCCCACCCUCAGUGUGCAUGGGCCAUUUGCCGCUCAGUCAGCAGGGUGGGCGUGGCCUUCUCCCUGCCUGCAUCUGAAAUGCAGUUUAAAGGUCAGGAAGACUGAUCUUUCGCUUCUGAAUCCUCUGAGAGUUCCUCAGGCCCUCCUGUGUGAGGCCCAGCUGCUUCCUGCCUGGUCUUCCUGGAUCCACAGAGCUGCAGCUGCAGUUCCUCUUCCCCUGACGUCUGAGGCCGGGCCUGCUCCAGGUCGGAGGUAUAGCGGGGUGACGAAGAGGAGGCUGCAAUGACCAUCAUGUCUCUGUGACCACACGAUUACCCAUCGGCUCCCACACCCCUCUGCCUGCCAGGAAGCUGAGGCUCAAGAGAACUGAGAGGAGGGGAACAACGGCCGUUGAGGCCCCCGUGGGCCAAGCAGUGUGCCAGGCACUCUAUCAAACAAUGGAGGUAGGUGAGCUUAUCCCCACUGUACAGAUGAGGAAACUGAGGUUCAGAGAACUGGUUGCCCAGGUCACACAGCUUGGAGGAAGCAGAAUAUAGAAUGCUAUCUGACUCCA
rnacentral:lncRNA from 1 species